rnacentral:rRNA from 1 species
AAUAUUGGACAAUGGGCGAAAGCCUGAUCCAGCCAUGCCGCGUGUGUGAAGAAGGUCUUCGGAUUGUAAAGCACUUUAAGUUGGGAGGAAGGGCAGUAAGUUAAUACCUUGCUGUUUUGACGUUACCGACAGAAUAAGCACCGGCUAACUUCGUGCCAGCAGCCGCGGUAAUACGAAGGGUGCAAGCGUUAAUCGGAAUUACUGGGCGUAAAGCGCGCGUAGGUGGGUCGUUAAGUUGGAUGUGAAAGGCCCGGGGUCCACCUGGGAACUGCAACCCAAACUGGCGAGCUAGAGGUAGGUAGAGGGUGGUUGAAAUUUCUGUGUAGCGGUUAAAAGGGUAAGUAUAGGAAAGAAACCCAGUUGCGAAAGGCAACAACUGGAACUGUAACUACCACUGGGGUCGAAAGCCUUGGGAGCAAACCGG